rnacentral:rRNA from 1 species
GAUGAACGCUGGCGGCGUGCUUAACACAUGCAAGUCGAACGAAGCACUCUAUUUGAUUUUUUUCGGAAAUGAAGAUUUUGUGACUGAGUGGCGGACGGGUGAGUAACGCGUGGGUAACCUGCCUCAUACAGGGGGACAACAGUUGGAAACGACUGCUAAUACCGCAUAAGCGCACAGUACUGCAUGGUACAGUGUGAAAAACUCCGGUGGUAUGAGAUGGACCCGCGUCUGAUUAGCUAGUUGGUGGGGUAACGGCCUACCAAGGCGACGAUCAGUAGCCGACCUGAGAGGGUGACCGGCCACAUUGGGACUGAGACACGGCCCAAACUCCUACGGGAGGCAGCAGUGGGGAAUAUUGCACAAUGGGGGAAACCCUGAUGCAGCGACGCCGCGUGAACGAAGAAGUAUUUCGGUAUGUAAAGUUCUAUCAGCAGGGAAGAUAAUGACGGUACCUGACUAAGAAGCACCGGCUAAAUACGUGCCAGCAGCCGCAGUAA